rnacentral:rRNA from 1 species
AGAGUUUGAUCCUGGCUCAGGACGAACGCUGGCGGCGUGCCUAACACAUGCAAGUCGAACGGAACUUCUUUAAUUGAUUUCUUCGGAAUGAUUUUGAUUAAGUUUAGUGGCGGACGGGUGAGUAACGCGUGAGUAACCUGCCUCUAAGAGGGGAAUAACAUUCUGAAAAGAAUGCUAAUACCGCAUAAUAUAUAUUUAUCGCAUGGUAGAUAUAUCAAAGAUUUAUCGCUCAGAGAUGGACUCGCGUCCGAUUAGUUAGUUGGUGGGGUAACGGCUCACCAAGACCGCGAUCGGUAGCCGGACUGAGAGGUUGAACGGCCACAUUGGGACUGAGACACGGCCCAGACUCCUACGGGAGGCAGCAGUGGGGGAUAUUGCGCAAUGGGGGAAACCCUGACGCAGCAACGCCGCGUGAAGGAUGAAGGUCUUCGGAUUGUAAACUUCUUUUAUUAAGGACGAAGAAAGUGACGGUACUUAAUGAAUAAGCUCCGGCUAACUACGUGCCAGCAGCCGCGGUAAUACGUAGGGAGCAAGCGUUGUCCGGAUUUACUGGGUGUAAAGGGUGCGUAGGCGGCUUUGCAAGUCAGAUGUGAAAUCUAUGGGCUCAACCCAUAGCCUGCAUUUGAAACUGCAGAGCUUGAGUGAAGUAGAGGCAGGCGGAAUUCCCCGUGUAGCGGUGAAAUGCGUAGAGAUGGGGAGGAACACCAGUGGCGAAGGCGGCCUGCUGGGCUUUAACUGACGCUGAGGCACGAAAGCGUGGGUAGCAAACAGGAUUAGAUACCCUGGUAGUCCACGCUGUAAACGAUGAUUACUAGGGGGUGGGGGGGUCUGAACCCCUUCCGUG